UACAAGCAGUGGGAGCACAGAGCAAUCUGUGUGACUGCGUACCUUUUGUAUAAUGGGUCAGCGACUUAUAUUCUGUAGCAAGGUUAACCGAAUAGGGGAGCCGAAGGGAAACCGAGUCUUAACUGGGCGUUAAGUUGCAGGGUAUAGACCCGAAACCCGGUGAUCUAGCCAUGGGCAGGUUGAAGGUUGGGUAACACUAACUGGAGGACCGAACCGACUAAUGUUGAAAAAUUAGCGGAUGACUUGUGGCUGGGGGUGAAAGGCCAAUCAAACCGGGAGAUAGCUGGUUCUCCCCGAAAGCUAUUUAGGUAGCGCCUCGUGAAUUCAUCUCCGGGGGUAGAGCACUGUUUCGGCAAGGGGGUCAUCCCGACUUACCAACCCGAUGCAAACUGCGAAUACCGGAGAAUGUUAUCACGGGAGACACACGGCGGGUGCUAACGUCCGUCGUGAAGAGGGAAACAACCCAGACCGCCAGCUAAGGUCCCAAAGUCAUGGUUAAGUGGGAAACGAUGUGGGAAGGCCCAGACAGCCAGGAUGUUGGCUUAGAAGCAGCCAUCAUUUAAAGAAAGCGUAAUAGCUCACUGGUCGAGUCGGCCUGCGCGGAAGAUGUAACGGGGCUAAACCAUGCACCGAAGCUGCGGCAGCGACGCUUAUGCGUUGUUGGGUAGGGGAGCGUUCUGUAAGCCUGUGAAGGUGUACUGUGAGGUAUGCUGGAGGUAUCAGAAGUGCGAAUGCUGACAUAAGUAACGAUAAAGCGGGUGAAAAGCCCGCUCGCCGGAAGACCAAGGGUUCCUGUCCAACGUUAAUCGGGGCAGGGUGAGUCGACCCCUAAGGCGAGGCCGAAAGGCGUAGUCGAUGGGAAACAGGUUAAUAUUCCUGUACUUGGUGUUACUGCGAAGGGGGGACGGAGAAGGCUAUGUUGGCCGGGCGACGGUUGUCCCGGUUUAAGCGUGUAGGCUGGUUUUCCAGGCAAAUCCGGAAAAUCAAGGCUGAGGCGUGAUGACGAGGCACUACGGUGCUGAAGCAACAAAUGCCCUGCUUCCAGGAAAAGCCUCUAAGCAUCAGGUAACAUCAAAUCGUACCCCAAACCGACACAGGUGGUCAGGUAGAGAAUACCAAGGCGCUUGAGAGAACUCGGGUGAAGGAACUAGGCAAAAUGGUGCCGUAACUUCGGGAGAAGGCACGCUGAUAUGUAGGUGAAGUCCCUCGCGGAUGGAGCUGAAAUCAGUCGAAGAUACCAGCUGGCUGCAACUGUUUAUUAAAAACACAGCACUGUGCAAACACGAAAGUGGACGUAUACGGUGUGACGCCUGCCCGGUGCCGGAAGGUUAAUUGAUGGGGUCAGCGCAAGCGAAGCUCUUGAUCGAAGCCCCGGUAAACGGCGGCCGUAACUAUAACGGUCCUAAGGUAGCGAAAUUCCUUGUCGGGUAAGUUCCGACCUGCACGAAUGGCGUAAUGAUGGCCAGGCUGUCUCCACCCGAGACUCAGUGAAAUUGAACUCGCUGUGAAGAUGCAGUGUACCCGCGGCAAGACGGAAAGACCCCGUGAACCUUUACUAUAGCUUGACACUGAACAUUGAGCCUUGAUG
rnacentral:rRNA from 1 species